CGCGUAGGCGGGAUGGCAAGUCGGUCGUGAAAUCCUUCGGCUCAACCGAAGAACGUCGAUCGAUACUGCUGUUCUUGAGGAUUGCAGAGGAGACUGGAAUUCCCGGUGUAGCGGUGAAAUGUGUAGAGAUCGGGAGGAACACCGGUGGCGAAGGCGGGUCUCUGGGCAAUUCCUGACGCUGAGGCGCGAAAGCGUGGGGAGCAAACGGGAUUAGAUACCCCGGUAGUCCACGCUGUAAACGAUGACGACUAGGUGUGGGGGGGUUCAGUCCCCUCCGUGCCGCAGCUAACGCAUUAAGUCGUCCGCCUGGGGAGUACGGCCGCAAGGUUGAA
rnacentral:rRNA from 1 species